UUUUGUAAGUGGAACUGGCGGUAAUGGCGGUGCACAUGGCGCGUUGCCCGUGUGUGCGCUCUGUUUGUUUUUAUCUCGUUGUCUUUUGAAGUGGCACUUGUCAUCACUCAUUUUCGUUCCUGAACGCUUCUGACUUGCGCAAGGAAACUGAGCGGAGAAAUUGCGAAACGAACGAAGAGUGCAAUCACGGUUGACAAGAACCGCGCCGUCGUGAACAACUCUGAAGCUGUCGAUGCAGUUUGAGACACAACUAAGCAGCUGCCACUGUGAUGGUAAGGGACAAGAAUGGCAUACUACAGCAAAUCAUCUGCGUUACCUGGGAUGAAAUGGGCAAUCGCUGAACACACUCAUAAUAGACUUAUCAAGUAAGUGCUACAAGUUACCCAGCCGGCUUAGGUGAGUGAAACUGUAAGCAGUCAUGCACUUCGCUAUUACUUUUGUGUGCAGUUUCAUCGUUUAAUUAAAUGUAGGACUCAUGUCAUAUUCUAUGAAGGUAAACUUAGCAGCCAAAGUGUUUGUUGAACACGUGAA
rnacentral:lncRNA from 1 species